rnacentral:rRNA from 1 species
GACGAACGCUGGCGGCGUGCCUAAUACAUGCAAGUUGAGCGAUGAAGAUUGGUGCUUGCACCAAUUUGAAGAGCAGCGAACGGGUGAGUAACGCGUGGGGAAUCUGCCUUUGAGCGGGGGACAACAUUUGGAAACGAAUGCUAAUACCGCAUAACAACUUUAAACAUAAGUUUUAAGUUUGAAAGAUGCAAUUGCAUCACUCAAAGAUGAUCCCGCGUUGUAUUAGCUAGUUGGUGAGGUAAAGGCUCACCAAGGCGAUGAUACAUAGCCGACCGAGAGGGUGGUCGGCCACAUUGGGACUGAGACACGGCCCAAACUCCUACGGGAGGCAGCAGUAGGGGAUCUUCGGCAAUGGACGAAAGUCUGACCGAGCAACGCCGCGUGAGUGAAGAAGGUUUUCGGAUCGUAAAACUCUGUUGGUAGAGAAGAACGUUGGUGAGAGUGGAAAGCUCAUCAAGUGACGGUAACUACCCAGAAAGGGACGGCUAACUACGUG